CCUGCGGGAGCUGCCCGCCUCCUUGCGGCCUCAUCGCUGCCUACCCCGUGAGGAGCUGUCGAUGCUGGGCACGGCCCCUCCGCACCUACUGGGGGAAAGGCGGCUGUGGUGGGCACCUGAGUCGCGGUGCCCAGUUUGCCUGUGGGUGGUUCGUUUCCCCCUUUCUUCCGCUGGAGUCACACCGCGUGUCCCGUGCGUGGUUCUGGGCCCUCAGCUCAAAGGGGCUUUGAGGGGCUGGAGCGGGUCCAGAGGAGGGCAGAGAAGCUGGCGAGGGGUCUGGAGCACAAGUCCUGUGAGGAGCAGCUGGGGGUGUUUAGCCUGGAGAAAAGGAGGCUCAGGGAUGACUUUGCCACUCUGCACAACUGCUGGCAGAAAGCUGUAGCCAGGUGGGAAUUGGCCUCCCCUGCCUGGGAACUCAUGAUGGGGUGAGAGGAUAUAGCCUUAAACUGCACUGUGCUGGACAUCAGGAAGAAUUUCUUCACAGCAAAGGUGAUCAGACAUUGCAAUGGGCUGCCCAGGGAGAUGUGCACUGUCCCUGUGGGUAUUCAAGACAGGGCUGGCUGUGGCACUGGGUGCCGUGGUCUGGCUGAUAUCCAGGAGUUCAGUCAUAGGUUGGAUUUGAUGACCUCAGCUCUUUUACAACCUAAUUGAUUCAGUUAAAGGUGGGCGGGGCAGUGAUAUCAAAGUGCCCUGUUUGUCUUGGGCCUCUUUAUUCCCGUGGAGCAGAUGAGCUCGGCUCCUAGCAGGCACUGAGCUGUGCUGUUGGGGCUGGAGAAAGCUGAGGGGCUCACAGGCAGCACAAGGCAGGGCCUGGAAGGGUUGGACUCACUGACAGUAUCUCCCGAGUAUGUCUGUGGUGGGCUUUGUGACAAGGAUUGUUCUCAUCCCAGGGUGCAGAGCCCUGUGGCUGAUGCACUGGAGGAAGGGUAAUACUUCAUCAUUGUUUUCUUCCUUGCCCACCUGAGAAGGUUCAGCAUGUGGAACUGGCCUCAGGGGACCCGGGGUGGUUGGCAUCUCUGCAAAGGGAAUGUGUGCACUGGGAUGACAAACAGCCUCUGCUGUCUCUCAGGGCUCCCUUGUGAACAGGCACAGCAGCCUUCGGCUGGCACUUGGGGAUGGCCUGUUUAACCUGAGCACUGUAAGAAACUGAUGCUGCACUGCUUCUGAUGCAUGACUUUCAGUGUUUGUUCCCAUGCCCUCAUUGGACAAUAUUUGCAUUACUGGCUAACUUUAGCCUGACCUUUUUAUGGGCUAUGCUGGUGCCUGUAGAGGAAAGGUGCUGCUUAGCUCCUCUCAGUAAGCAGCUCCCUGGGACUGCCUUGUUCUGUGAAGCAUUCAAGGAAGCAGUAGCUCCUUGCCCAAGGGAGAGCACUCAUUGAAUUUGGAUGGGUCUGUGGCCCCAGGUCCUGCUCUCUCAGUCAGAAGCAAAGGACCAGUGGAUGCCCCCUGAGUGUGGAACUGAGCGGGAAGGACAGACAGACCUGCCAGUGACCUACAGGAGCCCGCAGUCUUGCCUGAGCAGGACACUGCCCGUGCUCUGCUGCCUUCCUGCUGUCUCCUGCUGCAUCCUGGAGAAGCCAAAGCACCGAAGGACCGCAGCAGGACACCUGGCAUGUGCUGACACAGCUGGAAGUCCUGGCCAUGCCCUGCUGCUGUGUAAGGUUCCCCUGAUCAGCUGCAACAGGGCAGGAUGAGAGCUGAAGUUUUAAUAGCGCUGGUUGUGUUUGGCUGGGGAGUCCUGUACCACCAGGAAGGUGUUCUGCUGACUUCCCUGCCUGCAUUCAAAAAAAGAGAGAAAAUGUGUAAUAUCCUCGGUUAUUCAAGUCCCCUGCUCCAAGGGACAUUCGGACAGACUUUUAGGCCGCUUUUAUGACGUUCUGACAGAGGAGGGAGCUGUCAGCUCAGCAUUGAGCUUUUCGGCAGGCAGAGGUGCCCACCUGGGAGCUGGCUAAGCUGUCUGGGCAGCCCGCUGAAGGGACAUGUGCAGCUUGAUGUGCAGGGGAUGGAGCUAAUUUGGAAGUGCUUUAACCUUCUGCUUUAAGUGCAUGUAUGGAGUGUUUGUGUCCCUGUGCAAUGAAAACCACAGCCAUGAGUCUGCAGGGACAGCGGGAGCAGUGGGCCUGAGAGGCUGUUUGGAGGUGGAACAUUUGGCAGUGGGAUCUUGCAGUUUCUGUUGCUGUAGCAGUGUCCCCCUCUGUUGUACCAAGAGUCCCUGGAAACGUGGACAACACCUUCCUUUCCUGCCAGUGUCCAGAGCCAGAGCACCCUCCUCUGUGCCACAGCAAUGCAAGCAGCCCUUUUAUCUGGGCCACCUGCCAGGCAGCAGAAACAGCUGCGUUAAACUGCUCUGAGGUUGACUCAAGCCAACGUGGACUGGUCUGAAGUGGAAUAACAACCUGAUUCUAUCUCCUGUUUCUCCUGGUACAACCCGUCAGCAGCCUUCCUGCCUCAGCCAGUGGUAGUGUUGUGAGGUAUGGCUUAAUUACAACCCUGAAAUAAAAAGAAUUUCUUCAUUAGAUGUUGCUUCACAACUGCAUCAGUCAUCUUCUGUCCAGCUGCUGGUGGCAGAGCUCCAAGUGGGCUGAAUGGGGCUGGUUUGGCAGGUAUGUGGAGUGGUGGAGGUUGGAGCGUGCAGCUAGGCAGAAGAGGGUUAAGUCAGAAGCUCUCAGUGACGUUGCUAAAUUCAGUUUGCCACAAAGAUCUUUUUCUCCUUCAUGCUGGAGCUGUCUUUCUGCAGUCUUUCUGCCUUCAGAAACGUGGCUCAGCCCCAGUUUCUGCAAGUCACGCGCGUUCAUUUGCUGGCCGUUGGAAA